rnacentral:rRNA from 1 species
CCUACGGGAGGCAGCAGUGAGGAAUAUUGGUCAAUGGGCGCGAGCCUGAACCAGCCAAGUAGCGUGAAGGAUGACUGCCCUACGGAUUGUAAACCUCUUUUAUAAAGGAAUAAAGUGCGGCACGUGUGCCUUUUCGUAUGUACCCUAUGAAUAAGGAUCGGCUAACUCCGUGCCAGCAGCCGCGGUAAUACGGAGGAUCCGAGCGUUAUCCGGAUUUAUUGGGUUUAAAGGGUGCGUAGAUGGGUUGUUAAGUCAGUCGUGAAAGUUUGCGGCUCAACCGUAAGAUUGCAGUGGAUACUGGCUGCCUUGAGUGCAGUUGAGGUAGGCGGAAUUCGUGGUGUAGCGGUGAAAUGCUUAGAUAUCACGAAGAACUCCGAUUGCGAAGGCAGCCUACUGACGUGCAACUGACGUUGAUGCUCGAAAGUGUGGGUAUCGAACAGGAUUAGAUACCCGGGUAGUC